UGAAGAUGGUGCAUCAUGCAGUCCUGGGAAAGUCAAUAAUGAUGUGGCAAAGCAGCUCUCUGAUAACCUAUUAAGGUGUGUUAGAGACAAUGUAGCCAGCAAUGAGUCUUUAAGCGUGAUGACAAUGGCAACGUUGCUGGACCCAAGAUUUAAAACAAUUGGAUUCCUGAAUCCAAUCCGGUCACAAGAGGCAGUACGAAGACUGAAGGCAGAAUGUUCAGCAACAAUCAGCAACAGUGAAGGUGUUCAACUUCCAGGUCCAGCAGAGGCAGCUGAAGGUACCAGCAGCUCUGGUAGGUUUUUAUUCAUCCUGUAAAUUGCUGUAUUUCAAACCUUUCAAGUGUUCCAUAUGAUCAUUACAAAUCUGUGUUUUAACUAUUUUUAGGUGAACUGUGGUCUCUGCUGGAUGAAACAGUGGAUCAGAGAAGAAGAAGCUCCAAUGCCAUGGCAGAUGCAAUUGUAGAGGUGGAGCGGUACCUUGCAGAAAAUAACCUGAGGAGAAACGAGGAUCCACUGAAGUACUGGCAUACUCAAAAGCAUAUGUACCCUCAUCUCUAUCAC
rnacentral:lncRNA from 1 species